GCCAGAGCUGCUGCUUUGGGGAGAGGACACACAUACACCGAGGGCAAACUUGGACAACCACCAUCAGUGGAAGGCACAGGGGAGGGCUUUGUGGCAACACCUAACUUGUUUUGCAGAUCAGGAUCUGCUGCAGUCCUCUGCCCUGCAGUCCCAAAGGCCACAAUUUUAAGUCCUUGGAAGAAGAUCUCAGCAUCCAAGAACCAGUAUGCCAGGCCACUUGUUGCAAGAAGAGAUGACUCCUUCAUACACAACCACCUCCACCAUCACAGAGCCUCCCUCUGGAGUCAUGC
rnacentral:lncRNA from 1 species